rnacentral:rRNA from 1 species
GACGAACGCUGGCGGCGUGGAUUAGGCAUGCAAGUCGAACGGUAUCAUCCUUUCGGGGGUGAGAGAGUGGCGAACUGGUGAGUAACACGUAGGUUAUCUACCCUCAAGACGGGGACGAACCCAGGGAAACUUGGGCGUAAUUACCGGAUGUGAGCAACUUUUAGUUGUUUGAAAGGUGGCGUAAGCUGUCGCUUGGGGAUGAGCCUGCGUCCUAUUAGUUAGUUGGUGAGGUAACGGCUCACCUAGGCAAUGAUAGGUAGGCGGCCUUAACGGGUGGUCGCCCACACUGGGAUUGAGAUACGGCCCAGACUCCUACGGGAGGCAGCAGUCGAGAAUAGUCUACAAUGGUCGGAAGACUGAUAGUGCGACGCCGCGUGAACGAUGAAUCCCUUCGGGGUGUAAAGUUCUUUUAUAUGUGAGCAGUGCUUCUUAUAUUAACAGUAUGGGGAGAGAGAUAUUAGCAUAUGAAUAAGCAACGGCUAACUCCGUGCCAGCAGCCGCGGUAAA